AAGUCGUAACAAGGUUUCCGUAGGUGAACCUGCGGAAGGAUCAUUAACACGUAUCCAACGUUAAAACAACCCUGUGAACCUUUUUACGGAUUCUCCUGAACCAUGACAGCAGCAAUCCCUGGUAAAUCAUUGUUGAACAGAUUUUGAGCUAUGAGAAAUACAGUCGGGAUCGAGUUCUUGUAGCAAUCAGUGUCUGAAAGUGUCAUUGGUUGUGUAAAGAUGGCGCAGUAAACGAUCGUUGGAGGCCGACACGGCCGACGACCGGGUCACCGGGUCCCCACGCCCCUUACAUCACCCCACAGUACCCGACUGGGCAGCCGAUAUAACGGACGCCGUUUAAAUAACUUGAACAACUGUUAACAAUGGAUAUCUUGGUUCUC
rnacentral:misc_RNA from 1 species